UACGUAGGGACCGAGCGUUAUCCGGAUUCAUUGGGCGUAAAGAGCUCGUAGGUGGUUUGUCGCGUUGGUCGUGAAAUCUCACGGCUUAACUGUGAGCGUGCGGGCGAUACGGGCAGACUGGAGUACUGCAGGGGAGACUGGAAUUCCUGGUGUAGCGGUGGAAUGCGCAGAUAUCAGGAGGAACACCGGUGGCGAAGGCGGGUCUCUGGGCAGUAACUGACGCUGAGGAGCGAAAGCGUGGGGAGCGAACAGG
rnacentral:rRNA from 1 species